UGCCAGAGAUUUGUUACCACAGUGUUUUGUAAACGAAAGAGGCAAACCAACCAAGCAAAGUUAGCCGGAACCGUAUGUAAAAUUUGCGAAUUGAGCAAAAAAUGGCAGGUGAUCGCAAAUCGGUCUGUUAUAGAAAUUGAUCAGUGAUGAACGAGCACCGAGUUUGCCGAGAUUUAAGAAUGGACAGCUUUUCCGAUAACUCCUCAAGGUACGAGCUCGACUCUGUGACCUCGACAGAUUCGCUGCACUUGAUAACGGACGAAUUUCGACUAAGGCACGUCUCCACCCCGGACGUGUCGAGUGCGGAAUUAUCAAAGCGCCUGGCGGCCCUCGAAGUUGAAAACGAGAGGUUAAGAGUAGACCUUGAAAAUUCUCAGGUCGAAUUGAAUGGAAGAGUCGUGGGAAACCAGUCGCUGAAGGACAAGAUCACCGAGCUGUACAUCGAGGCCCAGGCUUCGCUCCAGGAAAGGCUUACGCUCGACAAUGAGUUGAAGAAUGCCAAGAGGCAGGUGCUAGCUGCUGAGAAUUUGAAGCAGUGGUAUCAGGCACAGAUCCACGAGUUGCAGGCCAGCAAGAGGGGCCUUCAGGUCGAAGUUGAUACUUAUCAACGACUGGUGAAGGAGAAGCACGAAGUGACCUUGGCUCUGACUGCCAGGUGCAAGCAGGCCAAUGACGAAUACAUCGUACUGAGUAAAAAGUUGAGAAAAGAGCGCCAGGAGUUGAAGGAAGAAAUAGAACAGCUCAGGGCAAAACUUACACUAGGUCAAGCAGCGGCUAUGCCACUCAAGGACCCCCAGACUCGCCUGUCGCCCGAUUUGUCAACCAAAUUGGAAUCAACCGAGGACGAGCUUAGGGACACGAGAGUUGAGCUUAAAGCAAUGGAGCAACGCCUCCUCAGCGUAGAGGUUCAGAAAAACUCACUGGAAAGUGCACUAGCCAAGUACAGAGAGUUGAUAUCCAGUAUGGGGAUAAACAUGGAGAAGUGCGAGAUGGAAAAAAAUGAGGCCAAGAGUCGACUCAACGCCGUGCAGAUUGAACUCAAUAAAGUUAAGUCUGAGAAGGAUGUCCUUGAGUCGACGCUCUUGAACUCCAAACAGGAACAUGGCCAAGUUGAACAGGCGAUAGUCCAACUGAAAUCUCAACUUAACAAAAUGAUUGCUCAACACAAACUGAUUAAAACAAGAAACAUCGAGUUGGAGUCUAAGGCCGCUGUGAUUCAGGAAAUUAAAAAUGAGAACAAGACCUUAAGGUCUCGUUCAUUUGCUGCUAAUAGUGCUCUGUUCAAGAAGCUGAGAGAUGCCAAACGGAAGAUCAGAUAUUUGGAGGAGCAAGUUAACAGAGAAGACAGCAGAAAGCAAUUGUUUCAAGCGAGGAUUGAAACAGACUCCUCUUUACAGGAAUGUCUCAAGCGGGCUCUUGAGAGAAAUAAGGAGCUGAACGAUCGACUGAAAUUAAUUUCAAUGGCGAAUAAGUUGGAAGAAAGUAUUGACGAGGGAUAUGGAGACGGAUUUUAUCAAAAUAUAACUACGGAAAUUCCUUCCCCAGUUCCUCUAAAUGCCGAAUUAAUGCAUAGUGUAACACAGGUUUUGGCUAGUGGUAAAAAUUUACUGGUUCCUGUACAGGCAGGACUGGAAGAACUGCAUAAAAAGCUUGAAACCCUUGAUCUAGGACAUCGUGCACGAUUCUUGAACUCCGGGCAAAUGUCCUCAGAUUCACCUACAAACAGUGCUAGUUAAACUCGUCCCAGAAGGACUGGGCUCUUCCACAGUACCAGUAGACUCCUCUUCGUUUCAACUUCAAACGGCGGUGGAGCAAGGCUUAGAUUUUCAACAUCGCAUUUAAUCACUUCGCGGCAUACGGGACAGAUUGCCUACGAUCAUUGAAAAAUAAGAAGUUUUGCACAACAA
rnacentral:misc_RNA from 1 species